rnacentral:rRNA from 1 species
UACGAAGGGUGCAAACGUUGCUCGGAAUCAUUGGGCGUAAAGCGCACGUAGGCGGCCUUGCAAGUCGGAUGUGAAAUCCCACGGCUCAACCGUGGACGUGCAUCCGAAACUGCUCGGCUCGAGUAUGGAAGAGGGUCGCGGAAUUCCCGGUGUAGAGGUGAAAUUCGUAGAUAUCGGGAGGAACACCAGUGGCGAAGGCGGCGACCUGGGCCAAUACUGACGCUGAGGUGGCGAAAGCGGUGGGGAGCAAACAGGG